AAGUCCUCGACUUUAGUCUAUAGCCGACAUUCGAGAAGAAAUGUUAUUACACUAUUACAACUUGGACCGUCGACUGCCACGCAAAAUCAAAUAAGUCGUUUUCACGUAGAAAAAUACAAUAAGUUAAGUUGAUUGCUUGUCACGGUACACAAGUGGUUCAUCUCCUAUAGUGAUUGGUUUGUCCAAUCCAAACAUAUCCGCGAUUUUCAUACAAACAGUUUUUAAUAGGGCACAAAGAAGGAUGGAAUAUUCUACCACUAGACUUGGAAUUCUGGGAAUGCAUGGACAAUAUCUUCUCGUUAAGUUUAGAGUGCAAUACAUUAGAGAUUAGUCUUUUAUUCAGUGUGAUUUAGCAAUUUUGGUUGGAGUCCAACAGUCACAUGUACUUUCACUUUCUCUAAAUAAAAACUAAUCACGUGUUAGACUAAGAAGAAAUGUCACAUGGCAUGCAAAAAAAUGUAAAGUCCCAGUGUGAAUUUCACAAGUAAAAUACAAUGUAACUUAACAAGUUCCACUUUUUUCCCUGAUACAAUUGAUGAGGAGGCUGAAAUCAAACUUGAAACCUCGUGUGCGCAACGAUGAAUGUUUUUAAUCAAAUGAACUCCAAAUUACUUUUACGUACAUCUUGAUAGGAUUAAAAGCACACCACAAAGUAGCACACAAAUGUCUUAUUGAGUUUCCCUAUUAACAUUAAGAUUUUUCAAUUGUAGCAUAUGAAAAUAAGGGUCUUUCCCGUAGAAGAUUGUUUUAUCUAAUUACUUAAAAUGUCACAAAAACUGGGCUGCUGUCCCUACUGACCAGCCACCGAAAAAUAAUUAUUAGACUGACUUACACUUAUCUAAAGUCUAUGAAAUUUUAUAUGAACACACUAGACACACAGAGCUACACUCACACAAAGUUUUGGGAUUUUUGAAGUUGAUUUUCUAUUUAAAUUAAAUCGAACAAAAACAGGACAUAAACGAAUUUUAAAUAAUAAAAAUAGAUUGUAGUUCACAAGUUAAGAAAACGAGUUAGGGGAAAUGCUAUCCACCACCAAAUAAUCAUACAAACAUGUAAUGUUUCAUUCAAAUUCCCUUUAUUUCCAGAUGAAGAUGCUUAAGUUGGCUCAAUGUUAGAACUCAACCUAUUACUCCUUCUUAUGUAGUAUGUUAAGAGAAUGGUGUUUUCAACUUAACUUAGUCUCUAGCAUGCAAUCUAGAAUGGUGUGUUCAUAGAUUUAACAAGUAGAAAUCAUUAAGAAUGAAAAGAGUUUGAGUCAUCACAAGACAUUGUAAGUACUGGUGUUGUCUUACUUAUUCUAGAAAUUGGUUCACAUGUUAAUCGCAAUUAACAAGUACUACUCUAGAACAUAUGUAGGUCCUCAUUCGACAAGGGCAGGCACACACAUAUUCAUAGCAUUAGAAUCCUAGAUAUGCUUACUAAGUAUGCAUCCGUAGAAAACACUUAAAGAAUUCAUCAAUGAGACAAGUGGUGAACCAAUUUUCAUCUAUUCAUAAAAUUAAUUCAAACGAAAUGUCAUAACAAACUUGCAAUCAUAUUCGGGGCUUCAAAACAGCCCCUAACUACUAAAAAUUUAGUUACGCAUUAUUAUCAAAUAAAACCAAAAGAAAGACAUGAGUUUGAGAAGAUAAAACCGAGAGAAGAGAAUGCCAAGAUUUCCUCCUUCCUUUCCUUACUUCCCCAACGCUGUUGCCUUGUCCUCUUUCCUUCCUUUCCGCAAAGCUGCCUUGUUUUUUUCUUUCUUUUCUAUUUUUUUUCCUUCUCUUCUUAUUUUCCGUUGCAACCUGCAACCAUUCACCCCCCUUUAACUUGCUGCCCCACUAACAACCAUUUAGUGAUGGCAAUAAGUGAGAGGAAAUGGUAAAACAAUUGUAACUCUUUUGGGUAGCCUUUAUCCCAAUUACUCCCACUUAAUCCUCAUCUUUAUUUCUAUUUCCUCUGAUAUUUGAAUAGGUGUUAGCUGACUUAUUCUUGGCUGCCUCAGUUUUGGCUGCUAGAUUUAUUGGAUUUAUUGCUUUCUUGUCAGUUACAAACUGUUCAGCCUCUUGGGAACCUUUCAGUGUUAUAAUGACCAUAACUUCUUCUAGAAAAAUGAUAUUAACAAUCUGUGAAAUGCUCCAGAAAAUAGACAUCUUUAGCUUUCCAAGAAUAUAAGGCUCAUUCUCUAAUUCAUUCUGAACUGUUCGCAACUUGCUUCCAAAGUCAGCUGAUCUGCACAGGCAGUUUUGACGAAUUUGUUACUUCAAAUCCCACUUGUGCUAUUUUUCUUUUCUUUGCUUGACAAAUCCCACAAAACACAAAAACGAAGUAAAUAGCUCAAAAAUAUAAGGAACUAAUUAAGAAAAGAUAAGUAAAUUUGAUGUAAAAUAUAUAUAAAUCUGAGCUUAUCAAAUACCCCCACACUUAGCUUUUGCUAGUCUUUGAGCAAAACAAAGAAACAUGAAAAAGUAGCAACAUGACAAACAUUAGCUUCCCCUUAUGUAACCCUCAUAGAAUUUCAUUCAAGAAA
rnacentral:lncRNA from 1 species